rnacentral:rRNA from 1 species
GGGGUAAAAAUUAAUAAUUAAAAAAUAAUAAAAUUAAUUUUAAUAUUAAAAUUGGGGGGUUUUAGUAUUAAUAAAGAAAAAAUUAUUAAUUUUAUAGUUAAUUAGUAUUGUAUAAGAAAUUUAAAAUAUAUUGAAAUUAUAUUUAUAUUAAAGUAAAUAUUAUUUAUUGUAUCUUGUGUAUCAGAGUUUAUUAAAUUAAAUUUUUAUAGAUAAAAAAUUCUCGAAUUUUAAAGAGUUAAUUAAUUAUUAAAGUUAUUGUUUCAUAAAUAUUUUAAAUAAUUAAUUAGAAAUGAAAUGUUAAUCGUUUUAAAAUAUAUCUAGUUUUUUUAGAAAAAAAUUUAAUUUUAAAUUUAUUUAUAAAUUUAAUUAAUUAAUUAAUUAAUUUAAAAUAAAUUUUAAUAUUUUAAGGGAUAAGCUUUAAAUUAAAUUUUUAUAAUUAUAUUUUUAUUUAAUUAAAAUUUUUAAAAUUUAUAUUGUUUAUAAAAUUUAAUUUAUUAUAAAAUAAUUUUAAUUAAAAUAUAAAAUUUUAAAUUAAUUUAAUUUUUUAUAAAAAAAUAAUUUUAAAUUUUAUAAAUUUAGUUAUAAUGAUAAAAUUAGUAUUAAAUUUAUAUAAAAAAUUUAUUUAAUAUUUUA